GCCCGAUGGGGGCCAGGGCCCCCCCCACUCCUCCGUGUGACCAGCGGCCGACUUCCUGUCCAUACCCACAGAGGGAUCUGACGGGUUUCCUGGAAAGGAGCUUCCGCAGCAAUAGCAGCAACACCCUGACCCAGCCGGUCCUCUCUGAUGAGUCGUUGCCCGUUAGGGGUGCCACAAGGACACCCUCGCGUUGGCUCUGCUGCCUCACGUCAGCCUCUGCAAGAUACACCCCUGUGGCAAGACCCAGCCGGGCAGCAAACCCGAAUUCCUGAGGCGCCUGGGGCUCAGUCUGGGGAGUUACACGAGCAUUGGCCUGGUUUUUCUUCACUGUGUGGAGGAGGAGCCGGUGGGGACAGACGUGAACUCCAAGUGCAGGCAAACCGAUUGUUAAGUGGACUGGGUGUGAAUGGGUCCAUUCACCCAAACCAGCCAGAGCCCAGGCCUUCCCAGCAGGACGAAACACGCAUGCGCUUCCUGUAGCCUCGCUGAAGCCCAGGGCAUCCAAAGCGCACAAAGGCCGCUCAGCUGUUCUGAAACUUGAAGCCUAUAGAAAAAAGAGCAAAUAACUCUGGCCUUUCCAGUGCCGAUGUCCAAAGAGAAAUACUAAAAAAAAAAAAAGGGGGGGGCAACAUUGUAGAGGGGGAAACACAAGGUAACAUUUCAGAAUUAGGUUUUGGAGUAAAGCAUGUUCAAGUUCUAGGUCAUGCCCUGUGUGAUCACGGGCAAGGCGUUUCACAAA